rnacentral:rRNA from 1 species
GGGUGAGUAACGCGUGAGUAACCUGCCUUUCAGAGGGGGAUAACGUUCUGAAAAGAACGCUAAUACCGCAUAAGAUUGUAGCUUCGCAUGGAGCAGCAAUCAAAGGAGCAAUCCGCUGAAAGAUGGACUCGCGUCCGAUUAGAUAGUUGGCGGGGUAACGGCCCACCAAGUCGACGAUCGGUAGCCGGACUGAGAGGUUGAUCGGCCACAUUGGGACUGAGACACGGCCCAGACUCCUACGGGAGGCAGCAGUGAGGGAUAUUGGGCAAUGGGGGAAACCCUGACCCAGCAACGCCGCGUGAGGGAUGACGGUUUUCGGAUUGUAAACCUCUGUCCUCUGUGAAGAUAGUGACGGUAGCAGAGGAGGAAGCUCCGGCUAACUACGUGCCAGCAGCCGCGGUAAUACGUAGGGAGCAAGCGUUGUCCGGAUUUACUGGGUGUAAAGGGUGCGUAGGCGGAUUGGCAAGUCAGAAGUGAAAUCCAUGGGCUUAACCCAUGAACUGCUUUUGAAACUGUUAGUCUUGAGUGAAGUAGAGGUAGGCGGAAUUCCCGGUGUAGCGGUGAAAUGCGUAGAGAUCGGGAGGAACACCAGUGGCGAAGGCGGCCUACUGGGCUUUAACUGACGCUGAGGCACGAAAGUGUGGGUAGCAAACAGGAUUAGAUACCCUGGUAGUCCACACUGUAAACGAUGAUUACUAGGUGUGGGGGGUCU